rnacentral:rRNA from 1 species
AGAGUUUGAUCCUGGCUCAGGGUUAACGCUGGCGGCGCGCAUAACACAUGCAAGUCGAGCGAGGGCUCAUUUCCCGCAAGGGAGAUGGGUUCCUAGCGGCGAACGGGUGAGUAACACGUGGGCAACCUUUCCUAUCGCGGGGGAUAACAGCGGGAAACCGCUGCUAAUACCGCAUGUCGUCAUCGGUCGCAUGGCCGGUGAAGAAAGCAGCAAUGCACGAUGGGGUGGGCCCGCGGCCUAUCAGCUAGUCGGUGGGGUAACGGCCUACCGAGGCGAUGACGGGUAGCUGGUCUGAGAGGACGACCAGCCACACGGGGACUGAGACACGGCCCCGACUCCUACGGGAGGCAGCAGUGAGGAAUCUUCCGCAAUGGGCGAAAGCCUGACGGAGCGACGCCGCGUGUGGGAUGAAGUCCUUCGGGAUGUAAACCACUGUUGGAGGGGAAGACAUCGACGGUACCCUCCGAGAAAGCCCCGGCUAACUACGUGCCAGCAGCCGCGGUAAUACGUAGGGGGCGAGCGUUAUCCAGAUUUACUGGGCGUAAAGCGCGUGUAGGCGGCUGGUUAAGUGUGAUGUG